rnacentral:lncRNA from 1 species
CUAGGAGAACCGAAAGCAGUUCUAGACUGACCUGGGGUUUUAUGACACUUUUGGCAGUCAACUUCAGCUUGUCUUAGAGCAGACACGACGGAGCUGACCGACAUCUAAGCCGCGAGACCCACCACCUACGUGGAUUUCCUCGUUGCUCUCCAGGCUUCGGGAGCAGCCGUAGGCAUAGAGAAAAGGGCCCAGGUUUGAAAGCAUCAGGUUUGUUGGAGAAAUC